rnacentral:rRNA from 1 species
UACGGAGGGUGCAAGCGUUAUCCGGAUUCACUGGGUUUAAAGGGUGCGUAGGUGGGCAGGUAAGUCAGACGUGAAAUCCCUCAGCUUAACUGGGGAACUGCGUCUGAUACUGGAUGGCUUGAGUUUGGGAGAGGGAUGCGGAAUUCCAGGUGUAGCGGUGAAAUGCGUAGAUAUCUGGAGGAACACCGGUGGCGAAGGCGGCAUCCUGGACCAACACUGACACUUAGGAGCGAAAGCCAGGGGAGCAAACGGG